rnacentral:rRNA from 1 species
AUUGAACGCUGGCGGAAUGCUUUACACAUGCAAGUCGAACGGCAGCACGGACUUCGGUCUGGUGGCGAGUGGCGAACGGGUGAGUAAUGUAUCGGAACGUGCCCAGUCGUGGGGGAUAACGUAGUGAAAAUUACGCUAAUACCGCAUACGAUCUAUGGAUGAAAGCGGGGGAUCGCAAGACCUCGCGCGAUUGGAGCGGCCGAUAUCAGAUUAGGUAGUUGGUGGGGUAAAGGACCACCAAGCCAACGAUCUGUAGCUGGUCUGAGAUGACGACCAGCCAAACUGGAACUGAGACACGGUCCAGACUCCUACGGGAGGCAGCAGUGGGGAAGUUUGGACAAUAGGCGGAAGCCUGAACCAGCCAUUCCGCGUGCAGGAUGAAGGCCCACGGGUUGUAAACUGCUUUUGUACAGAACAAAAAGGUUUCUACUAAUACUAGGAGCUCAUGACGGUACUGUAAGAAUAAGCACCGGCUAACUACGUGCCAGCAGCCGCCGUAA